UCCCGUCCUGCGAUGGGUUGCGACGGGGGAACAAUCCCCAAGAGGCAUGAACUGGUGAAGGGGCCGAAGAAGGUUGAGAAGGCAAUUAUUGGUGGGCUCCUGGAUGGGGCCUGGUCACCAGAAACACCAAGCCAAGAUUAGAAGCCUGGAACUUUCAGCCCCACCUCACCCCCAUCCUUCAGGGAGGAGAAGAGGAAUUGGACAUGGAGUUAAUAAUCCAUCAUGCCUACGUGUACAGAUAUGUAAAAACUUAAAAGAAGAAAGACCCUAGGAAAGAAGAGAGACCCUGAUUUGGCAUUUGAAGAAUGGGAAAGAGUGGUGCAGUCUACACAGUGAAGGAAAAAACAAGAACGGGAAGGAGUGGGACAUGGAAUAUGAUGUCGACAAAGAUGCUGAAUUAGUGGCCCAAUGGAACUAUUGUACUCUAAGUCAGGAAAUAUUAAGACGACCAAUAGUUGCCUGUGAACUUGGCAGACUUUAUAACAAAGAUGCCGUCAUUGAAUUUCUCUUGGACAAAUCUGCAGAAAAGGCUCUUGGGAAGGCAGCAUCUCACAUUAAAAGCAUUAAGAAUGUGACAGAGCUGAAGCUUUCUGAUAAUCCUGCCUGGGAAGGGGAU
rnacentral:lncRNA from 10 species